rnacentral:ncRNA from 2 species
AGUAUAAAAAUAAGAAUAUGAUGUUGGUUCAGAUUAAGCGCUAAAUAAGGACAUGACACAUGCGAAUCAUACGUUUAUUAUUGAUAAGAUAAUAAAUAUGUGGUGUAAACGUGAGUAAUUUUAUUAGGAAUAUAUGAACUAUAGAAUAAGUUAAAUACUUAAUAAUAAAUUAUAUAAAAAAGUAAUAAUUAUAUAAUAAUAAAGGAUAUAUAUAUAUAUAUUUAUCUAUAGUCAAGCCAAUAAUGGUUUAGGUAGUAGGUUUAUUAAGAGUUAAACCUAGCCAACGAUCCAUAAUCGUUAAUGAAAGUUAGAACGAUCACGUUGACUCUGAAAUAUAGUCAAUAUCUAUAAGAUACAGCAGUGAGGAAUAUUGGACAAUGAUCGAAAGAUUGAUCCAGUUACUUAUUAGGAUGAUAUAUAAAAAAUUAUAUCUAUAAAAGUAUAUAAAUAAUAUAUAUAUAAAUUGAUUAAAAAUAAAAUCCAUAAAUAAUUAAAAUAAUGAUAUUAAUUACCAUAUAAUAAUAAUAUGGAUAUAUAAUAAUUAUAAUAUUAAUUUAUUAUAAUAAAUUAUAUAUUUUAAUAGUCCUGACUAAUAUUUGUGCCAGCAGUCGCGGUAACACAAAGAGGGCGAGCGUUAAUCAUAAUGGUUUAAAGGAUCCGUAGAAUGAAUUAUAUAAUUUAGAGUUAAUAAAUUUAAUUAAAGAAUUAUAAUAGUAAAGAUGAAAUAAUAAUAAUAAUUAUAAGACUAAUAUAUGUGAAAAUAUUAAUUAAAUAUUAACUGACAUUGAGGGAUUAAAACUAGAGUAGCGAAACGGAUUCGAUACCCGUGUAGUUCUAGUAGUAAACUAUGAAUACAAUUAUUUAUAAUAAAUAUAUAUAUAUAUAAAUAAUAAAUGAAAAUGAAAGUAUUCCACCUGAAGAGUACGUUAGCAAUAAUGAAACUCAAAACAAUAGACGGUUACAGACUUAAGCAGUGGAGCAUGUUAUUUAAUUCGAUAAUCCACGACUAACCUUACCAUAUUUUGAAUAUUAUAAUAAUUAUUAUAAAUUAUUAUAUUACAGGCGUUACAUUGUUGUCUUUAGUUCGUGCUGCAAAGUUUUAGAUUAAGUUCAUAAACGAACAAAACUCCAUAUAUAUAAUCUUAAUUAUAUAUAAUUUUAUAUUAUUUAUUAAUAUAAAGAAAGGAAUUAAGACAAAUCAUAAUGAUCCUUAUAAUAUGGGUAAUAGACGUGCUAUAAUAAAAUGAUAAUAAAAUUAUAUAAAAUAUAUAAAAAAAUAUAUUUAAUUAAUAAUAUAAAACAUUUUAACUUUUAAUAUAUUUUUAUAUUAUAUAUUAAUAUGAAUUAUAAUCUGAAAUUCGAUUAUAUGAAAAAAGAAUUGCUAGUAAUACGUAAAUUAGUAUGUUACGGUGAAUAUUCUAACUGUUUCGCACUAAUCACUCAUCACGCGUUGAAACAUAUUAUUAUCUUAUUAUUUAUUAAUAUUUAUAUAAUUAUAUUAUAUAAUUAAUUAAUAUUUAUUUAUAUCAGAAAUAAUAUGAAUUAAUGCGAAGUUGAAAUACAGUUACCGUAGGGGAACCUGCGGUGGGCUUAUAAAUAUCUUAAAUAUUCUUACA